GCAUCGACAGCAGCGCAUCAUAUGAGCGUAUUGGCUCGUUCCGUUUUUAUCAUUACUCUUAAUGCGCAUAGAAAAACAGAACGGACCUAUGCGAUCUUUGGACUGUUUGUAAACAGACAUGGCGGAUAAGAAGUUACUCGUUGUUGUGUCUUCUAUUAUCUGCAGCCAGAUUGACGAAGAAGAUUAUGACGAAAUUUCUUCAUCAUCCAGCAGUGAUUCCAAUGACAAUAAAGAUGAUUUUAAUGACGAGGAAAUUGACAUGCGUACCUUAUAUGUCAUGUUAAUGGCGAAUAAGACGCGCGGUCAAACUCGUCAAGUCGAAAAAGUAAACGAUUAUGUGGAACGAGUUAUUCCAGGAUAUUCAAAAAUAACUUUUAAGGAACAUUUUAGUAUGUAGAAUGUUUCCAGAGACAUUUCAAAUAAUUCUGAGGCUUUUGAGGGCACCUUUGAAUGCCACAAAUGCUCGUGGAAGGAAACAAAUAUCUGCAGAAAAACAACUUUUAAUAACAUUAUGGUACAUGGCUACUCCAGAUUCAUCGAUCUGUGUGCGUCAAGUUUGGUGUGGGAAAGGCCACUGCAUUGCGCGCUGUGAGACAGGUAACUCAUAUUCUCCAUUGUCUAGCACCACAUUUUAUUAAAUGGCCAAGAGAAGAAGAGGCUA
rnacentral:misc_RNA from 1 species